rnacentral:pre_miRNA from 1 species
UUAGCUCAUAUUUGUAUGCAAUGGGAUCGUUUGCCUACGUUUGCCGCUAGGGGCGCUGUUCCAACUGCAUACAAAAUUGGGUUA